GUGUACGGCCACGCCACCCUGAACGUGCCCGAUCCCGUCUGAUCUCAGAAGCUAAGCAGGGUCGGGCCUGGCCAGUACUUGGAUGGGAGACCACCUAGGAAGACCAGGUGCUGUAGGUG
rnacentral:rRNA from 1 species